AACGAACGCUGGCGGCAUGCCUAACACAUGCAAGUCGAACGAGACCUUCGGGUCUAGUGGCGCACGGGUGCGUAACGCGUGGGAACCUGCCCUUAGGUUCGGAAUAACUCCCCGAAAGGGGUGCUAAUACCGGAUAAUGUCUUCGGACCAAAGAUUUAUCGCCUUUGGAUGGGCCCGCGUUGGAUUAGCUAGUUGGUAGGGUAAAAGCCUACCAAGGCGACGAUCCAUAGCUGGUCUGAGAGGCUGAUCCGCCACACUGGGACUGAGAAACGGCCCAGACUCCUACGGGAGGCAGCAGUGGGGAAUAUUGGACAACGGGCGAAAGCCUGAUCCAGCAAUGCCGCGUGAGUGAUGAAGGCCUUAGGGUUGUAAAGCUCUUUUACCCGGGAUGAUAAUGACAGUACCGGGAGAAUAAGCACCGGCUAACUCCGUG
rnacentral:rRNA from 1 species